CUUCAUUUUCAAGUGUGUGCAACCCCAGCUUUUAUCUCUUUCAUAGGUAUUACAGGCUGAGGCUGGGGAAAAGAGCUGUCUGCCUGAUGAGAAGUACUAGCCCCCAUGCAUGAGAAUUACUCUACAUUCUCGUCAUCCUGAAGUACAAAGCAUUAGGUGGCUUAUGCAUUUGCUAAGAAACUUGCCCAAUGGAAUCCGCUCUGGAACCUUGGGAUGUGCUACUGGAUAUGUACUGCAGUUACCGUGAAGAUGAAAAGGCAGGACUAAAUUUCCCAGACUUCACAGGGAAGGCUAUGAAGCAGAACAUAAGAGGCAACAGGGAUGCAUCUUUUUAG
rnacentral:lncRNA from 1 species